rnacentral:rRNA from 1 species
AUCCUGGCUCAGGAUGAACGCUAGCUACAGGCUUAACACAUGCAAGUCGAGGGGAAACGAUAGAGAAAGCUUGCUUCUGAUAGGCGUCGACCGGCGCACGGGUGAGUAACGCGUAUCCAACCUGCCCAUCACUUGGGGAUAACCUUGCGAAAGUAAGACUAAUACCCAAUGACGUCUCUAGAAGACAUCUGAAAGAGAUUAAAGAUUUAUCGGUGAUGGAUGGGGAUGCGUCUGAUUAGCUUGUUGGCGGGGUAACGGCCCACCAAGGCGACGAUCAGUAGGGGUUCUGAGAGGAAGGUCCCCCACAUUGGAACUGAGACACGGUCCAAACUCCUACGGGAGGCAGCAGUGAGGAAUAUUGGUCAAUGGACGAGAGUCUGAACCAGCCAAGUAGCGUGCAGGAUGACGGCCCUAUGGGUUGUAAACUGCUUUUAUAAGGGAAUAAAGUGGGAGUCGUGACUCUUUUUGCAUGUACCUUAUGAAUAAGGACCGGCUAAUUCCGUG